GGGGUAUAGCUCAGCUGGGAGAGCGCUUGAAUGGCAUUCAAGAGGUCAUGGGUUCAAAUCCCACUAUCUCC
rnacentral:tRNA from 1 species